rnacentral:rRNA from 1 species
UGGGGAAUUUUGGACAAUGGGCGAAAGCCUGAUCCAGCAAUGCCGCGUGUGUGAAGAAGGCCUUCGGGUUGUAAAGCACUUUUGUCCGGAAAGAAAUCCUUGGCUCUAAUACAGUCGGGGGAUGACGGUACCGGAAGAAUAAGCACCGGCUAACUACGUGCCAGCAGCCGCGGUAAUACGUAGGGUGCAAGCGUUAAUCGGAAUUACUGAGCGUAAAGCGUGCGCAGGCGGUUUGCUAAGACCGAUGUGAAAUCCCCGGGCUCAACCUGGGAACUGCAUUGGUGACUGGCAGGCUAGAGUAUGGCAGAGGGGGGUAGAAUUCCACGUGUAGCAGUGAAAUGCGUAGAGAUGUGGAGGAAUACCGAUGGCGAAGGCAGCCCCCUGGGCCAAUACUGACGCUCAUGCACGAAAGCGUGGGGAGCAAACAGGAUUAGAUACCCUGGUAGUCCACGCCCUAAAACGAUGUCAACUAGUUGUUGGGGAUUCAUUUCCUUAGUAACGUAGCUAACGCGUGAAGUUGACCGCCUGGGGAGUACGGUCGCAAGAUUAAAACUCAAAGGAAUUGACGGGGUCAUAGCUGUUUCCU